AUUCCAGCUCCAAUAGCGUAUAUUAAAGUUGUUGCAGUUAAAAAGCUCGUAGUUGAACUUCAGACCUGGCCGGGCGGUCUGCCUCACGGUAUGUACUGUCUGGCUGGGUCUUACCUCUUGGUGAGCCGGCAUGCUCUUCACUGGGCGUGUCGGGGAACCAGGACUUUUACCUUGAGAAAAUUAGAGUGUUCAAAGCAGGCCUAUGCCCGAAUACAUUAGCAUGGAAUAAUAAAAUAGGACGUGCGGUUCUAUUUUGUUGGUUUCUAGAGUCGCCGUAAUGAUUAAUAGGGAUAGUUGGGGGCAUUAGUAUUCAGUUGCUAGAGGUGAAAUUCUUGGAUUUACUGAAGACUAACUACUGCGAAAGCAUUUGCCAAGGAUGUUUUCAUU
rnacentral:rRNA from 1 species